GAUGAACGCUGGCGGCGUGCUUAACACAUGCCAGUCGAACGGUGAAGCCAAGCUUGCUUGGUGGAUCAGUGGCGAACGGGUGAGUAACACGUGAGCAACCUGCCCUGGACUCUGGGAUAAGCGCUGGAAACGGCGUCUAAUACUGGAUAUGAGCCUCUUCCGCAUGGUGGGGGUUGGAAAGAUUUUUUGGUCUGGGAUGGGCUCGCGGCCUAUCAGCUUGUUGGUGAGGUAAUGGCUCACCAAGGCGUCGACGGGUAGCCGGCCUGAGAGGGUGACCGGCCACACUGGGACUGAGACACGGCCCAGACUCCUACGGGAGGCAGCAGUGGGGAAUAUUGCACAAUGGGCGAAAGCCUGAUGCAGCAACGCCGCGUGAGGGAUGACGGCCUUCGGGUUGUAAACCUCUUUUAGCAGGGAAGAAGCGAAAGUGACGGUACCUGCAGAAAAAGCGCCGGCUAACUACGUG
rnacentral:rRNA from 1 species